CUUUAAAACAUCCGCCUAUCCCCAAUCCCAAAUCAAAACCCUCUUCCUCUCUUCUUUAUGAAUGAGCAGUUACUUACUCCAACCCCAAAGUAAAACCCUCAUCCUCAAUUUUUUUUUUAUAAAAUUCUCCUUCAAUCUAGUGUUCGGCCAAAGAAAAAUCAAACAAAAUCCAAUACCAUUAAAUUGGAUCUAUAUCAUACAUUAAAAUUUACCCGAAACUUUUGAUUUUUUCUGCAUUCUGCUCCUUAAUUUACCUUCAACUUUAAUGUAUGAUAUAGAUCCAAUUCAUCAGCCAACGUUGUUAUAGAAUUAAUUUCCAAGCAAUUAAGAAGAAAGAGAACAACAAUGAAGGCAAAUUAGAGUAGAAAAAGGAAGAAAUUGGUACUACAGGUGGAUAAAAGACGACACACAACGUAUUUCGGCUGCUUCAAGUCGAUGGAGAUCGUCAUGGUAUCCUACCCUUUGAAUUGCUCCUAAUUGAAGGUUUACGUGACUGAAUUCUCAAACAAAGGAGAAAGAAAAUGGAGUACUAAAGUCUUAUUGAUGUAAUUACAAUUGUAAUUAAAUUUCAGUAACUUAAAAUAAUAUUUUUCGUUAUUAUUGUAUGUCGGAAGAUUAUUUGUAUCACAUCAAUUUUAAUUUAAUCCAUUGUUAUUUUCAAUGGUAGAAUGUAACUUACAA